rnacentral:rRNA from 1 species
AUUGAACGCUGGCGGAAUGCUUUACACAUGCAAGUCGAACGGCAGCACGGACUUCGGUCUGGUGGCGAGUGGCGAACGGGUGAGUAAUGUAUCGGAACGUGCCCAGUCGUGGGGGAUAACGUAGAGUACAUUACGCUAAUACUGCAUACGCACAAUGGAUGAAAGCGGGGGAUCGCAAGACCUCGCGCGAUUGGAGCGGCCGAUAUCAGAUUAGGUAUUUGGUGGGGUAGAGGCCCACCAAGCCAACGAUCUGUAGCUGGCCUGAGAGGACAGCCAGCCACACUGGAACUGAGACACGGUCCAGACUCCAACGGGAGGCAGCAGUGGGGAAUUUUGGACAAUGGUCGAAAGCCUGAUCCAGCCAUUCCGCGUGCAGGAUGAAGGCCCUCGGGUUGUAAACUGCUUUUGUACAGAACGAAAAGGUUUCUACUAAUACUAGGAGCUCAUGACGGUACUGUAAGAAUAAGCACCGGCUAACUACGUGCCAGCCGCCGCGGUAA